GGGCGAUUAGCUCAGUUGGCUAGAGCGCCUCGUUUACACCGAGGAGGCCGUGGGUUCGAGACCUACAUCGCCCA
rnacentral:tRNA from 3 species